AGCGAACGCUGGCGGCAGGCCUAACACAUGCAAGUCGAACGAACCCUUCGGGGUUAGUGGCGGACGGGUGAGUAGCACGUGGGAACGUGCCUUUAGGUUCGGAAUAACUCAGGGAAACUUGUGCUAAUACCGAAUGUGCCCUUCGGGGGAAAGAUUUAUCGCCUUUGGAGCGGCCCGCGUCUGAUUAGCUAGUUGGUGAGGUAAUGGCUCACCAAGGCUACGAUCAGUAGCUGGUCUGAGAGGAUGACCAGCCACAUUGGGACUGAGACACGGCCCAAACUCCUACGGGAGGCAGCAGUGGGGAAUCUUGCGCAAUGGGCGAAAGCCUGACGCAGCCAUGCCGCGUGGAUGAUGAAGGUCUUAGGAUUGUAAAAUCCUUUCACCGGUGAAGAUAAUGACUGUAGCCGGAGAAGAAGCCCCGGCUAACUUCGUGCCAGCCGCCGCAGUAAGAC
rnacentral:rRNA from 1 species